CUUCUCAGCAAGUGGCUUUACAAACUACUCAAUGAGAAUGGAGUAUGGCAGGAAAUCAUUCGCAACAGGUAUGUGGGAUCCAAUGCCAUUUCUCAAGUUCAUUGGAAACCCGGGGAUUCACAUUUUUGGAGUGGUGUGAUGAAGGCCAAGGAAUUCUUUUUCCAAUUUGGGAUCUUCUCGUUUAGGGAAGGUUCUCAGGUUCGAUUCUGGGAAGACAUCUGGCUAGGGAAC
rnacentral:rRNA from 1 species